GCCUACGGGGGGCAGCAGUGGGGAAUAUUGCACAAUGGGGGAAACCCUGAUGCAGCGACGCCGCGUGAGUGAAGAAGUAUUUCGGUAUGUAAAGCUCGGUCAGCAGGGAAGAAAAUGACGGUACCUGACCAAGAAGCCCCGGCUAACUACGGGCCAGCAGCCGCGGUAAUACGUAGGGGGCAAGCGUUAUCCGGAUUUACUGGGUGUAAAGGGAGCGUAGACGGCAGGGCAAGUCUGGAGUGAAAGGCGGGGGCUCAACCC
rnacentral:rRNA from 1 species